rnacentral:rRNA from 1 species
CCCUUAGAUGUCCUGGGCCGCACGCGCGUUACACUGAUGCAUUCAACGAGCUUAUAACCUUGGCCGAGAGGCCUGGGCAAUCUUGUUAACGUGCAUCGUGAUAGGGAUAGAUUAUUGAAAUUAUUAAUCUUGAACGAGGAAUUCCUAGUAAACGCAGAUCAUCAAUCUGCAUUGAUUACGUCCCUGCCCUUUGUACACACCGCCCGUCGCUACUACCGAUUGAACGUUUUAGUGAGGUAUUUGGAUCGGACCUGAAGGGGUUCACGCCCUUUCUGUGUCUGAGAAGACUCCCAAACUUGAGCGUUUAGAGGAAGUAAAAGUCGUAACA